rnacentral:rRNA from 1 species
GAUGAACGCUGGCGGCGUGCCUAAUACAUGCAAGUCGAGCGAACGGACGAGAAGCUUGCUUCUCUGAUGUUAGCGGCGGACGGGUGAGUAACACGUGGAUAACCUACCUAUAAGACUGGGAUAACUUCGGGAAACCGGAGCUAAUACCGGAUAAUAUUUUGAACCUCAUUGCUCAAAAGUGAAAGACGGUCUUUCUGUCACUUAUAGAUGGAUCCGCGCUGCAUUAGCUAGUUGGUAAGGUAACGGCUUACCAAGGCAACGAUGCAUAGCCGACCUGAGAGGGUGAUCGGCCACACUGGAACUGAGACACGGCACAGACUCCUACGGGAGGACGCAGUAGGGAAUCUUCCGCAAUGGGCGAAAGCCUGACGGAGCAACGCCGCGUGAGUGAUGAAGGUCUUCGGAUCGUAAAACUCUGUUAUUAGGGAAGAACAUAUGUGUAAGUAACUGUGCACAUCUUGACGGUACCUAAUCAGAAAGCCACGGCUAACUACGUG